rnacentral:rRNA from 1 species
GAUGAACGCUGGCGGCGUGCCUAAUACAUGCAAGUCGAGCGAACAGACGAGGAGCUUGCUCCUCUGACGUUAGCGGCGGACGGGUGAGUAACACGUGGAUAACCUACCUAUAAGACUGGGAUAACUUCGGGAAACCGGAGCUAAUACCGGAUAAUAUAUUGAACCGCAUGGUUCAAUAGUGAAAGACGGUUUUGCUGUCACUUAUAGAUGGAACCGCGGCGCAUUAGCUAGUUGGUAAGGUAACGGCUUACCAAGGCAACGAUGCGUAGCCGACCUGAGAGGGUGAUCGGCCACACUGGAACUGAGACACGGUCCAGACUCCUACGGGAGGCAGCAGUAGGGAAUCUUCCGCAAUGGGCGAAAGCCUGACGGAGCAACGCCGCGUGAGUGAUGAAGGUCUUCGGAUCGUAAAACUCUGUUAUUAGGGAAGAACAAAUGUGUAAGUAACUAUGCACGUCUUGACGGUACCUAAUCAGAAAGCCACGGCUAACUACGUGCCAGCCGCCGCAGUAA